UGCCUGCUGCAGGCCAACAACUACAAAUAUUACUGACAGCUUCAAUUCAAUGACACAGUCGCACAAACAAACAGAAACGCAAACAAACACAAAAACGAACAAUCUCAUCGAUAUCCUGAUCUACCCUUCUCCUCAAUACUCAAUACUCAAUUCCCAAUUAAUGUAUCAAACAAGAAAAUCAGAGUUGGACCAUCACGUGCUUACAUAAAUUGCUAUUUUUACAGUCCAUGAGGCUUAUUCAUAGGAUUAUGAUGAUGAUUGGUGAAGGAGGAAAAGAACAAUCAGUUUUGAGGUGAUUAUUUAUGUCGGGUGUUGUUAAAGUUUGAAGCUUUGAGCAAUUUCCAAGAAAAAAUAUAGAAAAAGUUGGAAGGUCUCUUCUUUUUUUUUUUUAGCAAUGGGGGAUAGUUACAAGGGAAUGUCAUCUGAUAACAUAAAAGGGUUAGUGUUGGCAUUGUCUUCUAGCUUCUUUAUUGGAGCCAGCUUUAUUGUCAAGAAGAAAGGUUUGAAGAAAGCUGCUUCUUCUGGUCUCAGGGCUGGUGCUGGGGGUUAUUCUUACCUGUAUGAACCACUUUGGUGGAUUGGAAUGAUUACAAUGAUUGUUGGGGAAAUUGCUAAUUUUGCAGCUUAUGCAUUUGCACCAGCUAUUCUGGUCACUCCUCUUGGUGCACUUAGCAUCAUUAUCAGUUCUGUGCUAGCACAUGUUAUUUUACGAGAGAGGUUGCACAUGUUUGGGAUUCUUGGUUGUGCUCUAUGUGUUGUGGGUUCAACAGCAAUUGUAUUGCAUGCUCCCCAAGAACGUGAGAUUGAGUCUGUCAAGGAAGUGUGGGAACUUGCAACAGAGCCAGCUUUUCUUUUGUAUGCUGCUUUUGUCAUAGGAGCAGUGUUCAUAAUCAUUAUCCGUGUUAUACCCCAGUAUGGCCAGAGUCAUGUUUUGGUCUAUAUAGCAGUUUGUUCACUUGUUGGUUCACUGUCGGUCAUGAGUGUCAAAGCGCUUAGUAUUGCUCUGAAGCUAACAUUCUCAGGAAUGAAUCAGUUAGUCUAUCCCCAAACGUGGGUCUUUACAUUGGUUGUAAUUACCUGUGUGAUCACUCAGAUGAACUAUUUAAACAAGGCUCUUGAUACAUUUAACACAGCAGUUGUAUCCCCUAUAUACUAUGUGAUGUUUACAUCCUUAACCAUUUUGGCCAGCGUCAUCAUGUUUAAGGAUUGGGACCGGCAGAAUCCAACUCAAAUUGUUACUGAAAUGUGUGGAUUCGUGACUAUCCUUUCGGGAACUUUUCUUCUUCAUAAAACAAAGGACAUGGUUGAGGGUUCGUCGCCAUCUCUACCAUUGAGCAUUCCCAAGCAUUCAGAAGAAGAUGGGUUUCAACCUGAAGGAAUCCCUCUUCGACGUCAAGCAUCCCUGCGGCAGGCAUAACUGUUCUGUGAUUCAUCAAUCUACUGUUCCCCGGUUAUGCAUGUUUCUGGAGGACUGAGAAACUCCCAGCUGCCGACCCAUAUAUUAGCAACAUAUUCAGCCGGCCCUUCAAAUUCCUUGAGAAGUCGAUGAACAAAGAUGGCUGAAAUUCUUCCUGGAUAGAAAAUGAAAUGAGCACUUUGAGCUUCACAUUUUACUUCCCCCCUUUUUGUACUGGCAAAGGGCCCCAUCUUAAGGAAUUGUAAUUUUGAGCACAUCGUUCCAUAUAAUGGAUCCUAGCUCCAAGUUUACGGAGAAAUAUAGAUUUUCCGGGCACUGGAUUGAUGUUGGAGAAGGGAGUUCUGACAUGCCAGAACCAUUUAAGGAAAAUGGUGCUGCAUCUUUUUCUGUUAUUAUCUCAUGCAUCUGUUAAGGAGACUUGCUGUCAGGACUGGCCAGCUGCCUUGAGCAACCCUGUGCGCUAAUGAAUAAACAUUCUCUGACAGUCUUAUUUUUCCGCACAGUUGAUGUCUUGAUGACAAGUGGGAGCACUAACACUCCAACUUUGACUUUUACCCCAACUCUGGUCUUGCACCAAAUCAAAAUUUUUUAUCACUGGUUUAGAAAUUGAACCGAUAAUCCAACCAUUACAGGUUAGACAGUUAAUCCAA